GGGAGCUUGCUCCUGGAUUCAGCGGCGGACGGGUGAGUAAUGCCUAGGAAUCUGCCUGGUAGUGGGGGAUAACGUCCGGAAACGGGCGCUAAUACCGCAUACGUCCUGAGGGAGAAAGUGGGGGAUCUUCGGACCUCACGCUAUCAGAUGAGCCUAGGUCGGAUUAGCUAGUUGGUGGGGUAAAGGCCUACCAAGGCGACGAUCCGUAACUGGUCUGAGAGGAUGAUCAGUCACACUGGAACUGAGACACGGUCCAGACUCCUACGGGAGGCAGCAGUGGGGAAUAUUGGACAAUGGGCGAAAGCCUGAUCCAGCCAUGCCGCGUGUGUGAAGAAGGUCUUCGGAUUGUAAAGCACUUUAAGUUGGGAGGAAGGGCAGUAAGUUAAUACCUUGCUGUUUUGACGUUACCAACAGAAUAAGCACCGGCUAACUUCGUGCCAGCAGCCGCGGUAAUACGAAGGGUGCAAGCGUUAAUCGGAAUUACUGGGCGUAAAGCGCGCGUAGGUGGUUCAGCAAGUUGGAUGUGAAAUCCCCGGGCUCAACCUGGGAACUGCAUCCAAAACUACUGAGCUAGAGUACGGUAGAGGGUGGUGGAAUUUCCUGUGUAGCGGUGAAAUGCGUAGAUAUAGGAAGGAACACCAGUGGCGAAGGCGACCACCUGGACUGAUACUGACACUGAGGUGCGAAAGCGUG
rnacentral:rRNA from 1 species